GCACCAGGGAAAAUCAAAAUGUAUAGAAGCUGAAUUGUCAACGGCAAGCUAAGGACUGUGACUUUUACAAGUGUCUUAGCUAUGGUGGCUGUUAAAGAAAUCUACGGAUUGAUCUUUGCCGUCUGGGGUAUCGCGGCGUUCCCUACUUCCCGAAGCCGAUACGGUGAUUUAGAAACAUGCGUGGAGGAGAUAAAGGAAAAUGCAAAAAGCCUUUUAAAAUUCUACG